rnacentral:rRNA from 1 species
ACACUCCUACGGGAGGCAGCAGUGGGGAAUAUUGGACAAUGGGCGCAAGCCUGAUCCAGCCAUGCCGCGUGAGUGAUGAAGGCCCUAGGGUUGUAAAGCUCUUUCACCGGUGAAGAUAAUGACGGUAACCGGAGAAGAAGCCCCGGCUAACUUCGUGCCAGCAGCCGCGGUAAUACGAAGGGGGCUAGCGUUGUUCGGAUUUACUGGGCGUAAAGCGCACGUAGGCGGACUAUUAAGUCAGGGGUGAAGUCCCGGGGCUCAACCCCGGAACUGCCUUUGAUACUGGUAGUCUUGAGUUCGAGAGAGGUGAGUGGAAUUCCGAGUGUAGAGGUGAAAUUCGUAGAUAUUCGGAGGAACACCAGUGGCGAAGGCGGCUCACUGGCUCGAUACUGACGCUGAGGUGCGAAAGCGUGGGGAGCAAACAGGAUUAGAAACCCCGGUAGUCCCAU